GCACAAUGGGGGAAACCCUGAUGCAGCGACGCAGCGUGCGGGAUGACGGCCUUCGGGUUGUAAACCGCUUUCAGCAGGGAAGAAGCGAAGGUGACGGUACCUGCAGAAGAAGUACCGGCUAACUACGUGCCAGCAGCCGCGGUAAUACGUAGGGUACGAGCGUUGUCCGGAAUUAUUGGGCGUAAAGAGCUCGUAGGUGGUUGGUCACGUCUGCUGUGGAAACGCAACGCUUAACGUUGCGCGUGCAGUGGGUACGGGCUGACUAGAGUGCAGUAGGGGAGUCUGGAAUUCCUGGUGUAGCGGUGAAAUGCGCAGAUAUCAGGAGGAACACCGGUGGCGAAGGCGGGACUCUGGGCUGUAACUGACACUGAGGAGCGAAAGCAUGGGGAGCGAACAGGAUUAGAUACCCUGGUAGUCCAUGCCGUAAACGUUGGGCACUAGGUGUGGGGGACAUUCCACGUUCUCCGCGCCGUAGCUAACGCAUUAAGUGCCCCGCCUGGGGAGUACGGUCGCAAGGCUAAAACUCAA
rnacentral:rRNA from 1 species